CCUACGGGUGGCAGCAGUGAGGAAUAUUGGUCAAUGGUCGGGAGACUGAACCAGCCAAGCCGCGUGAGGGAGGAAGGUACAGAGUAUCGUAAACCUCUUUUGUCAGGGAACAAAGACUGGGACGCGUCCCCGGAUGAGUGUACCUGAAGAAAAAGCAUCGGCUAACUCCGUGCCAGCAGCCGCGGUAAUACGGGGGAUGCGAGCGUUAUCCGGAUUUAUUGGGUUUAAAGGGUGCGCGGGCGGUCUGUUAAGUCAUCGGACAAAGCCCGGGGCUCAACCCCGGCCCGCCGUUGAAACUGGCAGUAUCGAGUUGGAGAGAAGUAUGCGGAAUGCGCGGUGUAGCGGUGAAAUGCAUAGAUAUCGCGCAGAACUCCGAUUGAGAAGGCAGCAUGCCGGCUCCACACUGACGCUGAGGCACGAAAGCGUGGGUAUCGAACAGGAUUAGAUACCCCAGUAGUC
rnacentral:rRNA from 1 species